AACGAAGCACCUGAGAAUGAUUCUUCGGAUGAAGUCUCUUGUGACUGAGUGGCGGACGGGUGAGUAACGCGUGGGUAACCUGCCUCACACAGGGGGAUAACAGUUGGAAACGACCGCUAAUACCGCAUAACCCGCUGGUGCCGCAUGGCACUGACGGAAAAGAUUUUAUCGGUGUGAGAUGGACCCGCGUCUGAUUAGCCAGUUGGCAGGGUAACGGCCUACCAAAGCGACGAUCAGUAGCCGGCCUGAGAGGGUGAACGGCCACAUUGGGACUGAGACACGGCCCAGACUCCUGCGGGAGGCAGCAGUGGGGAAUAUUGCACAAUGGGGGAAACCCUGAUGCAGCGACGCCGCGUGAGUGAAGAAGUAUUUCGGUAUGUAAAGCUCUAUCAGCAGGGAAGAAAAUGACGGUACCUGAUUAAGAAGCCCCGGCUAACUACGUGCCAGCAGCCGCGGUAAUACGUAGGGGGCAAGCGUUAUCCGGAUUUACUGGGUGUAAAGGGAGCGUAGACGGUGAUGCAAGUCAGAAGUGAAAGCCCGGGGCUCAACUCCGGGACUGCUUUUGAAACUGUGUGACUGGAGUGCAGGAGAGGUAAGCGGAAUUCCUGGUGUAGCGGUGAAAUGCGUAGAUAUCAGGAGGAACACCAGUGGCGAAGGCGGCUUACUGGACUGUAACUGACGUUGAGGCUCGAAAGCGUGGGGAGCAAACAGGAUUAGAUACCCUGUUAGUCCACGCCGUAAACGAUGAAUAUUAGGUGUCGGAAAGCAAAGCUCUUCGGUGCCGCAGCAAACGCAUUAAAUAUUCCACCUGGGGAGUACGUUCGCAAGAAUGAAACUCAAAGGAAUUGACGGGGACCCGCACAAGCGGUGGAGCAUGUGGUUUAAUUCGAAGCAACGCGAAGAACCUUACCAGGUCUUGACAUCCCUCUGACCGGGAUUUAACCGUCCCUUUCCUUCGGGACAGAGGAGACAGGUGGUGCAUGGUUGUCGUCAGCUCGUGUCGUGAGAUGUUGGGUUAAGUCCCGCAACGAGCGCAACCCUUACCUUCAGUAGCCAGCGGUUCGGCCGGGCACUCUGGAGGGACUGCCAGGGACAACCUGGAGGAAGGUGGGGAUGACGUCAAAUCAUCAUGCCCCUUAUGAUCUGGGCUACACACGUGCUACAAUGGCGUAAACAAAGGGAAGCGAGACAGUGAUGGCAAGCAAAUCUCAGAAAUAACGUCUCAGUUCGGAUUGCAGUCUGCAACUCGACUGCAUGAAGCUGGAAUCGCUAGUAAUCG
rnacentral:rRNA from 1 species